rnacentral:rRNA from 1 species
UACGUAGGGUGCAAGCGUUAAUCGGAAUUACUGGGCGUAAAGCGUGUGCAGGCGGCUUUGCAAGACAGAUGUGAAAUCCCCGGGCUUAACCUGGGAACUGCAUUUGUGACUGCAUGGCUAGAGUGCGGCAGAGGGGGAUGGAAUUCCGCGUGUAGCAGUGAAAUGCGUAGAUAUGCGGAGGAACACCGAUGGCGAAGGCAAUCCCCUGGGCCUGCACUGACGCUCAUGCACGAAAGCGUGGGGAGCAAACAGG